UACGAAGGGGGCUAGCGUUGCUCGGAAUCACUGGGCGUAAAGGGCGCGUAGGCGGCGGUUUAAGUCGGGGGUGAAAGCCUGUGGCUCAACCACAGAAUGGCCUUCGAUACUGGGACGCUUGAGUAUGGUAGAGGUUGGUGGAACUGCGAGUGUAGAGGUGAAAUUCGUAGAUAUUCGCAAGAACACCGGUGGCGAAGGCGGCCAACUGGACCAUUACUGACGCUGAGGCGCGAAAGCGUGGGGAGCAAACAGGAUUAGAUACCCUAGUAGUCC
rnacentral:rRNA from 1 species